rnacentral:rRNA from 1 species
ACAUGCCUACACCAUAGUGUUAAUGCACUGGAUUCCAUUAGAACUUUGCAGUUAAGCGCGCUCAGGCUAGAGUAGUACUAGGAUGGGUGACCGCCCGGGAAGUCCUAAUGAUUUACAUGCC